rnacentral:rRNA from 1 species
UACGAAGGGGGCUAGCGUUGCUCGGAAUCACUGGGCGUAAAGCGCACGUAGGCGGAUUGUUAAGUCAGGGGUGAAAUCCUGGAGCUCAACUCCAGAACUGCCCUUGAUACUGGCGACCUUGAGUUCGGGAGAGGUGAGUGGAACUGCGAGUGUAGAGGUGAAAUUCGUAGAUAUUCGCAAGAACACCAGUGGCGAAGGCGGCUCACUGGCCCGAUACUGACGCUGAUGCACGAAAGCGUGGGGAGCAAACAGG